rnacentral:lncRNA from 10 species
CUCAGGUUUAAGCAUUUCUUCAGGUCCCUAUUUCCUUAUGAAGGCUCCCAUGUCAGUUGCCUAUUGUUUCACUGUAUAGCUGUGCUAUGUGGACAUUUUGUUUCCAGCCUUUUGCAAGCCAAAGAGCAAUUAAUUACCUUUUCAAAAUAAUAUUCAUUCAUGCAAGGGUAUCUGCAACAAAAAGAAGUGGAUUUUCAAAAGGUUUCAAAAGAAAACUUCUACCAAGAAAGGAAGCGCAUCUUUCAUGUCUUCACAUUCCUUGAGAUUCUCCUGGGGACAGAGUAUGAACAUGAGAAAUACUUAUUAACUUAAAAUAACUUCUAGAGGAUCUUAAUCUAUGCUCCAGGGAUACAAUUCAGGGUGUCCUGAAUUAUAUUAUUAUAUUACAUUUUUGUGAUAUUAAUUUAUAUGCUAUUACUGCUGGUGUCCUCAUAAGAAGAGAGAGACACAGAGUGAAGACGGCCAUAGAAAGACGGAGGCAGAGAUUGGAGGGUUGCCGCCACAAGCCAAGGAAUGCCUGGGGCCGCCGCAAGCUGGAAGAGGCAAGAAAGCCUCCUCUUCUGCAGGCUGCAGAGGAAGCAUGGUCCUGCUGACAUGUUGUACUUAGACUUCCAGCCUCCAGAACGGUCAGACCAUACACUUCUAUUAUGUUAAGCCACCUAGUUUGUGGAACUUUUUAGGCAACCCUAGGGAACCCACAGACACACUGAGUAUAAGUUUAUCACCAAUAGAAAUCACGGAUGUUUUCAUGCAAGAUUAUGGUUGCUGCAGAUAUCUGCAAAUGUUGUUUAAGCUCAUCACUACUUUGAAAUUAUAGUGGUUAUUAGACCCAAAGCGAAAUAUUUUAACUUAAUUGGGUAAUAAAUAACUUAUAAAUUUGUUUUUAAAUAUUUUGAUAUUUUCAUAACUUUAUUCAAUAUAAUGAUUUUCCUUAUGAUUCUCUUUAUCUUAUGCAUUUUAAAGCAUAAUUCCGGGAGGAGGUCUGCAGGCUUCACCAGAAUGCCAAAGGGGUUCCAUUAAGUUCGGCCUGAGAUGCAGUACUCCAACAUAUCCAGAAGAGGGCACUAGAGCACCUAGGCAAAGUUUCCCAGAAAUUAACACUGAUCAUUUUACUGUAUUUCCCUAUAUUGCAGAUACAGAAAUGUGCUUUAAAUUCAUAUUGUCUUUAGAAUAUUAUGUGAUCAGAAUAUGGAAAUACUUUCAGGCCUGCCUUCCUAUUUGUUUGUUAACUUAAAUUUUCCAUACCAUUUUUUCCUUAUUUUUUUUUUAUCGAGGUAAAAUAUACAUACAUAAUUUACCGUCUUUACCACUUUUAAGUGUGCAAUUCAGUGGUAAUAAAUACAUUUAUAUCUUUUUUCAUACCAUUAAAAAAUGCUGACAUGAACAGUUGGUGUUGAAGUUAUUUUUAAACUGUAGCCCAU